UCCGUAGGCGGUCAGGUAAGUCAGUGGUGAAAGCCCAUCGCUCAACGGUGGAACGGCUAUUGAUACUGUCUGACUUGAAUUAUUAGGAAGUAACUAGAAUAUGUAGUGUAGCGGUGAAAUGCUUAGAGAUUACAUGGAAUACCAAUUGCGAAGGCAGGUUACUACUAAUAUAUUGACGCUGAUGGACGAAAGCGUGGGUAGCGAACA
rnacentral:rRNA from 1 species